ensembl:rRNA 5S_rRNA 5S ribosomal RNA
UCCGGCUGCUAGCUCUCUGUAACUCUCACAUGGUUGCCCAUUGAAGCUAAGCAGGGCUGAGCCUGGUCAGUACCUGGAUAGGAGACCACAUGGGAAAGCCAGGUUGCUGCCGGAA